AUUGAACGCUGGCGGCAGGCCUAACACAUGCAAGUCGAGCGGAUGAGGGUAGCUUGCUACCUGAUUCAGCGGCGGACGGGUGAGUAAUGCCUAGGAAUCUGCCUGGUAGUGGGGGACAACGUUUCGAAAGGAACGCUAAUACCGCAUACGUCCUACGGGAGAAAGUGGGGGAUCUUCGGACCUCACGCUAUCAGAUGAGCCUAGGUCGGAUUAGCUAGUUGGUGGGGUAAAGGCUCACCAAGGCGACGAUCCGUAACUGGUCUGAGAGGAUGAUCAGUCACACUGGAACUGAGACACGGUCCAGACUCCUACGGGAGGCAGCAGUGGGGAAUAUUGGACAAUGGGCGCAAGCCUGAUCCAGCCAUGCCGCGUGUGUGAAGAAGGUCUUCGGGAUUGUAAAGCACUUUAAGUUGGGAGGAAGGCAGUAAGUUAAUACCUUGCUGUUUGACGUUACCGACAGAAUAAGCACCGGCUAACUCUGUGCCAGCACG
rnacentral:rRNA from 1 species